GUGGUGGAUUACUGGCUAACGGGUGAGUAACACGUGGGCAAUCUGCCCUGCACUCUGGGACAAGCCCUGGAAACGGGGUCUAAUACCGGAUAUUACCUGGUGAGGCAUCUCAUCGGGUGGAAAGCUCCGGCGGUGCACGAUGAGCCCGCGGCCUAUCAGCUUGUUGGUGGGGUGAUGGCCUACCAAGGCGACGACGGGUAGCCGGCCUGAGAGGGCGACCGGCCACACUGGGACUGAGACACGGCCCAUACUCCUACGGGAGGCAGCAGUGGG
rnacentral:rRNA from 1 species